rnacentral:lncRNA from 1 species
UGACAGACAAGAGUCACUAUGCAUUUACUCUUUUCUUCUAGGACCACACAACUAAGUAUACCACGAUGAACAAAAUAGACAAGAAAUAAACUCUGCCUUCCUGGACCUUGGAUUUCAUUGGAAGAUCUAUUCAAGUAAACAAGAAAUUACACUGAAUCCAUUGUGCUAAGCAGAGCAAAAGGGGAACUCUAGCUGCUUUAAAGCAGUGAGUUUAGUUAAAAUACAGUAGUUAAGGGAUAGAUUUGGGAGAUCAAUAAUGAGUUCAAUUUAUAGUGAUAUAGAUUCAUUUGUGCAAUAUUUAGGGAAGUUGUGCCGAAUAAUAUUGAGUACCUAUGUUUAAAGCUCAUAGAUUUUGUUUUUAAAGUAAUUAGGUACAUUUGGUAGCUGACCUAUGGAAUAAAAAUAUUUACCUUGUGAAUGAUGGCAUCACGGCCAACAGUGGGACCUCAGGGAAAGCCAUGUUUUAAAGUCACAGAGAAGAAAGAACCAACAGUGAACACAGAGAAGGUACCAUCUUGUAUGAGGUGAAGAACCAUCGAAUUUUGUUAAGAAGGAUAAAGCUGGAGAUAAUUUCAAGAAGUAGAGCAUGCACAAAUCUGUCAAGUUCAAAGAAGUGAAAGAAGAGCUCGAGAGUGCAAGCAGGGGGAUUGGCAGAGGGAGAGGGAGAAAGAGGCUCCUGCUGAUCAAGAAGCCCAACACAGGGCUCAAUCCCAGGACUCCAGGAUCAUGACCUAAGCCAAAAGCAGUCAUUUAACCAACUGAACCAUUCAGGUGCCCUUGCUUCAGAGAUUUUUGGGAAAAAAAACAAACAAACAAAAAAAAAAAACAAAAAAAAACAAAGAAAUCUUUCCUGAUGCAGACAAGAAUAACACGAGGAAAAUGUCUUUUUGUCCCUCUUCGUGCUUAUCUAAGCUUUAACACAAUGAAAAUGUGGUUUCUUUAAUUUAACAGUCAUCUUGUUUCUAUCAAAUGAUAAGGGACAGGACUAAACCAAAAUGCUUAGGACAAUGAAAUGCUCAACACAGUAACAUGAAACAACAGAAAUAUGGAGAUAAUUCUUAAUAGUUUGCUUUCUUUGCUUUAUUCAUUUAUUUCUUAAUUUUAGAUCCUAAAAUAUUGCUAAAACCUUAAAAUCAAAUGGGAUUCCUGUGAACUAUAAUAGUACAUGGAUAUUAAGUAAUUAGAGGAAUUAACUUUGAAUUUUAUGGAUCAUAAAAACAAAAGGAGCCACUUUUAUAUUAUCUUCUGUAUUAAUAGAAUCUAUCUGGAGAGGGGUUUUAUCUUCUAAAGCUUUAUAGUUUAAAGCAGAUGACUCAUAGUUUCAAAAUAAAAUUUUAAAAUAAUGUAAAGUGUAAUAGGCUUAAUCCAGGAAAUCUAUUAUAUACUAGAAUUUAGACAGUUGUUACUUGAAUCAUGAAGUUAUUACUAGUUUCACAAUUGGUAUUUUUAUGUACUUGGAUAGAAAAUCUUUUAGCCCGUAAGUCAUCAAUUAACAAUUAUUAAAUUAGUAACAAGGUUCUAAUCAAAUAGUUUAUUUUUGGAAAACAAGGACAUGAUUAAUAUUGCUUUAGGGAUUUUUCAUUACUCCUGUUAAAUAGUAACGUAAUUUUAGUAUUAGUAAUAAAAUAUUUGUAACUGUGUCAAGACUUUAAAUUCAGAAAAAUAAUAUUGCUUUUAUACUUUUUAUUCUCCUUUUUAAAACAUUUCCUGUUUACUGUAAUGCUGACCGUUGGCCUCCUCUCUUGCCCUUCUCUAACGGAUCCUCCUGUUUUCUUUACAAACAUAAAACUGAUAUGUUAUUUUUCUUCUUAAAAUACUCAAAUUGCCUUUGGAUAUAAUCCAGUGAAUUUAAAGCCAUGAAUGAUUUGGCCACUACCUCUCCUCUCCUGUUGCCUUUGCAUUCAGUAAGCGCUUAUCCCCUGUCCACACUUAACAAAUGGUACCUUGAGAAUCCCCAUGCUUAGAAGUGAUUCCUUGUUUUACAUUUUUGCAAAAUGUGGCACUUAUGCUUUUUUAUAAAAGGUCUACCAAAUAUGAAAUAGCAUCUCAUAGCAAAGAAAGCUGAUUCUUGUCUGUCCAUUUUUUAUUUUUUAUUUUUGCCCUUCAUAGGCAUUCUUUACAUUUUCUCAGAUUAUUUUUCAAUUACAUGUGUUACAAAUUCUCUCAGAAAAUGAGGAAGUUUUCUUUAAAUCAUUUUCCCUCUAUAGUAUUAGUAUAGUACAUAGUAUACAGUAUUUUUUUAAUUCAAUAUGGCAUAUUCUGUAUUUUUUUUAAUUUUUUAUUUUUUAUAAACAUGUAUUUUUAUCCCCAGGGGUACAGGUCUGUGAAUCACCAGGUUUACACACUUCACAGCACUCACCAAAGCACAUACCCUCCCCAAUGUCCAUAAUCCCAC